rnacentral:lncRNA from 1 species
AGUAAAGAUAUCAUCCAGUUUUUUUCUUAGUAUAAACAUAUGUAGCACAAACUAAACUAGCUCGAAUUUUUUCAUGAAUCCUAUGACAAUACUAGCUUGGUGCGUUCAUGAAAUACUAUUGUAGCAAUAUGGAAAACAACUCUUAUCACAAAACAUGUUGGAAAAGAGCCAUUGAAUUUCACAAGAAGUUAUAGCCAUUACACUUUAUUUAGCUUAAGUGGAAAAACAAGAAAUUCUGUGUUGCUUUUUGGAUUUCCAAGAUAUAGGAGAAGAACCCAACAAUAUAUAAUACUUGGUAAUGGAACGAUGGGUUUCUAGACAAGUCACCCAAUCAAAGUCACAAAACGCAUUAAGUUGAAGUGUACUAGAUGGAGAAAAAAGAAUGUCGAUUUCGACUGAGUGAUUGUUUAAUGUGUCAAAGCAAGCGACGAGCAACAUCCAGAUAUGGUUGUUUAGGAUUAGCCAUGAAUUGAUUAAGAAUUUGAACUAAGAAAAUAGUGCCUGGACAACGAAUAGUGAGAUAGAUGAGGCAUCUAAUAUGCCUAUGAUAUAAAAGAAGAUUGGGUAAAAGGUCUCCAUCAGUUGAAGUAAGUGAGAGGUUGGGUUCCGUAGGUGUCUUGGUAGGCCGAGAACCAAGGAAGCUAGUAUCCUCUAAAAUAUCAAGUGCAUAUAUUUGUUGGGAAAAAUAAAUACCAUGCUGGGAGCAUGAAACUUCAAGUCUUAGAAAUAUUUAAGUGGACCAAGAUCUUUUAAGGCAAAGCAAUCAGAGAUAAUUCUUCAAAGUUGAAAUGACAGAAAGAUAAUUGGUACAAACCAAUUGUUGGCAAUGUCAAAUUACUUUAUUUCCUAUCCCUGGAUUGAAUAGAUAGUUAUUUGUUUUGAUCUCUAUCUUUCUACCUUUAAUAGGUAUUGGUAUUUACCCAGACUUUAUUCUCUCAUUAUUAAUUGACAAGGUUGAAGCUAUUCUAUCUAAUUUUUAUUUUAUUUCAUUUUAUUAUUAUUUUUAUAUAUACAGAUAGAUUUCAUGAAUAAAAAAUAAAAAUAAAAAUUAAGCUUUUGGUUUUUAUAAUUGGUGCAUGCCUCUAACCUUAGGUUUCCCUAGACUUGAUCAAAGCAUAAAAAAAAUGGCUACAAAAGCCAAUAAAAUUAAUUAAUCUAGAGAAAAAAUAACUCAUAUUUGUGAUUUGGAUGUUUCCAGAUCAAUUCUAAUUUGCUAAAGUCGUUGAAGAAGUUAUAGAUCUCGUUUACUUGGUGUUCUUCCACCUAAUCUCUCCUUACACAAAUCCAAACACGUAAGAGAAGUAUAAACUACUCUUCCUCCCUAAGAGUGGUUAGAAUUUCUCUUUGGAAGAUAAAAGACAAAAGAUUGAAACCCUAAUCCCUAAGGGAGUAUUUAUAAAUCAUCCUAUGGGUUUAAGUGACUUGUGCCUAGGUAUUCACAAAAUAACAAUCAAGUGUCCUAAAGCUCUAAGGACUUUUGACUACGUUGUAAUGUUAUUUGGAUUAAAAAAUGCUAAAGCUACAUAUCAACAUUCUAUGAAUGUACUUUUCCAUGAUUUAAUUGGUAAAAUAAUGAAGGUCUAUAUUGAUGAUAUAGUAGUGCAGGGUUCCAUAGGUAGUUUUCAGCCCAAGAUAAUAUAGGCAAAAAAACAGCAACCAGUCUAUUAUUUUAGUCGAUUGAUAACUAAAGUAGGAAAGAAUUAUUCUCCAAUAUGAGUAUUAUAUCUAGCACUACUUUUUUUCCAUAAAGCUCAAACAUUGUAUGUUGCCUACCAUAGUCUAGAUGAUAGCAAAAAUAGAUGUAGUAAAAUACGAUGUUGUCACACCCUAUCCCUCAAAGGUUGAAUGGGAAAAUAAAUAUUAGCCAUCCAUCUUAAAAGAUUGCAUUGAUAUGCAUGAGAUGUCGAGCAUGCCAACGAUUGAGAUCUUUACAUCAUCUCUAGGCCUAAAAGAAUUGGGAGAAGCUCAAGCAAUGCAUAUGGAGUUAGAAGAAUUGGGAGAGUCUCGAUUCAAAUCUUUGGAUCAUCUCUAAGCCUAAAAGAGAUAAGUUGCUUGGACCUGUGACAAGAGGGCAAAGAGAAAAGUUUUUAAUGGUAACCCAUUCAUCUUCAUUUUAAAUUUUGUACCGUUUAUCUUUUCAUUUUUAAGUUUUAAUUUUUUUUAAUAUUUUUCUAAAUUUAAGUUGACUAAUUAAAAGGUGUUUGAUAUUGGCUAAAACCAUUUAGAUAAAACUAUCUCACCAACAUUUUUAUUUUUUCAAAGACACAGAUUACGGGCAUUUUCUUAAUGACUUGCACUAGAUUUAAAAUUCUCUCUCACAAUCUGCUAUCGUAGGACUACGUUUACAUUAAAUCCUCCUCCUUCGCCUCCUUGUUGAUUGAGGAUGCUGCCUGUUUAUUGGAAUGGUCUGGGCGAAGAUUCCAUUCCCCCAGAAUAGAAUGUAGCCAAUACUCAACCCUGCCACCACCCCACACCCGUAUCCCAUCCAUGCCACCCUCCAAUCAAAUUCAAUUCUCGGAUCAGAGUCCAAGAGUCGUUCAUGAGUUGAUGCCUCUGCUUCCUCAUCGACUCUGCAUUUCCUGGAUAAUGGAAAUCCGCAUAACAUUGGGUUCCCCUCGUAUGAUUUUAGAGGAAAUGUGUUGAAUUGACCUCCGCUAGGUAUGGCUCCUUCGAGGUUGUUUCCUGCCAAGUCCAAGAAGGAAUGGAAUGUUGGACUUGUUAACUGCACAGGAAUCUCCCCUGAUAGCUUGUUGUUUGAGAGAGCCAAUGACUCAAGCUGGUGAGCAUUCUCCAGUGAUGAUGGUAUAGGGCCAUCAAGGUUGUUACUAGACAAGUCCAGGUUAUGCAAUGAAUUAAACUCUCCGAUGGACUCUGGGAUUUUCCCUUCCAAUUGAUGAUUGGAGAGAUCAAUACUUGUGAAAAAAUCUAGAAUCCUUUCUAGUUGAAACUCUCCUCCUUUCAUUGUUAUCUUCAUUGAGCUCUGAAACUCAUAAUAACCCCUUUUGACUCCAAGGUAAUUUGGUCCGGAAUUUUCAUCUUCCUCUUUCAUCAUUGCUUUCCAAGUGUGGAAGUACUCAGAGGGCAACUGGCUUGCGAAGGCAUUGGAAGAUAGGUCAAUCACAUGAAGCAUUGGAAAGGCAUUCCUCAUCCGGGGAUGUUUAAUCUGGCCAUAGAACCUAUUGGAGUGCAGGAUGAGAACUUGCAGUUGUUGUAAAUUCUCCAACCUGAACGGAAAAAUAUCAUUUAUCUGGUUGUUAACCAGGUGUUCUAAUUGAUUUCAGUUGAACACAAGUAUAGUUAAUGAUUCUGCAUAAACCCGCGGCAUGGCUCCCUUCAAACCAUUCCCACCUAGAUUUAGUACUGACAGAGAACUGCUGAAGUUACCUAGACAACUUGGUAUUGUGCCAUCCAAAUUGUUAUUUGAUAGAUCAAGGACUUCAGAUAGAUCAAGAUAACGAGGAGUGGUCAAGUUUGAGAACAUGUCCAAGUCCAUGCUACCUUUGAAGUCAUUGGAAGAAAGAUAAAUGACUUCUAGACUCGUGAGUUGAGCAAUCCAUCUUGGAAUAGGGCCCUGCAACACGUUAUCACUAAGAUCUAGCUCCUUCAAAAAUGGGGAAGGCUUGUAAGGAAGCUGGGUAGGCAGAGCUUGGAGUCGGUUCUCGUGAAGAUCUAAUACCUUCAAUGAUGGGAAUAUAAACAAAGAAUAAUUUAUUACACCAUCAAGUGAGGCAGACAAGAUCGCUGUCUGGAGACAAACUAGUGAUCAUCUUGUUUGGUAGAAUCAGAGAUGGAAUUGAUUCACUGAAAUGGUUUGAUGAAAGGUCCAUAGUUUCAAGUUUUGUGAGAUUGACAAUGGAAUGUGGGAUUUUUCCUGAGAAAUUGUUAGAUGAGAGGUCCAAACUCUGCAGCUGCCUGAGGUUGCCAAUUGAACUUGGGAUUGAACCAUGAAAAUGGUUUGACGAGAGGUCCAAACUUUUCAGCUGUACAAGCUUACCUAUCCCUUUGAAAUGGUUCGAUGAAAGGUCCAAAUUCUGUAGCUUUCUAAGGCUGCCAAUUGAGUUUGGGGGAUAGGACCACUGAUAUUAAGACCAUUAAGAUCUAAGUCAAUUUAUUAUUAAAUUACAUCUAAUAUAAUAUUAUGAUAUUUGAUUGUAAUAUGUCUAAUUUUAAAAUAUAUAUUAAUAUUAAAAUUAUGAUUCAUUUAAUUCAAUUGUAUUAAACAAUAUAAAAUAAAUUAUGAUAUAUAUAUAUAAUUUUUUAAUAUUUAAUUAAUUAUUAAUGAUAUUAAAAACAUUAUAAAGAAAAUUACAUAAUUUUUAUAUUUUUGAUAAUCAAUUAAAAGAAAAUUUUUCAUUUAAUUAUAAAAUAAUUAUAAUUAAUUUGCUUUUUAAAAUAUUCUUUUAAUAUUUUCUUUAUAUAAUGAGUUUAACUAUAUAUAUGUUUAAUGCAUAUUAUAUAAUAAGGGUAAGUUUGACUAGAUGGUGAGUGGGUUGAACCUCAAACCUUUUGGUUUGGGGUUCAAAUCUCCUCAUAUAUCGCCACAUAUCGUGAUAUUUUCCUCUUGAUCCCUACCUUUAAUAGGGAUGAACUAGCUACCUUGGAAAGAUAUCCACCUUUUCUUAUCAUCCCUUUCUCUUAUCAUUUGUGAUUUAUUAAAGGAUUGGCUCAGAUUAAUGUAAAUAUAUUGAAUUAAACUAAAUCAUGAGAGAUUUUAUUGAAUACUAAAUGAUUAUAAAAGUUGUAUCCAAACUCAAAAGUUUUUUUCUUUCUUUUUUAAUUUGCUCUCUGUUCACCAAGAAAUUUAUGGUAUUUAUGAAAAACCUAACCCUAAAAACAAAAACAAAAGUGUUAAAAUUUCCAAUGAGAAGCAAAAAAGCCGAAUGGGGAAAGUCUCAAAGUGAAAUUCUGGAAAUUAUAGUUUGUAUAAAAAAUUUCAAUACCUUCGUAGUGGUGUCAAAAUGCAUUUUGAUAAAUGUCUAAACCUUAUAGGCCUCUAGCAUGCUUCUAAUGUGGUAUUGGGUUGAUUAUGACAUGUAUCAUAAUGUAUCUUUUUGUAUUAUGAUGUAUUGAAAUAUUGCAUCUUAUAUCAAAAUUGUAUCUUAAUAUAUCUUUUUGUAUCUUGAUGUAUUGAAAUGUUGCACCUUGUAUUGAAAUUGUAUCUCCAUGUAUUAUUCAUUUUGAUAAACCCUAAAAAUUUUGGUAUCUUCAGAAUGCUUUUGUAGGAAAAUUUGGAUACAUCCACUAUAUUGAAAUGUUUAUCAAAAUUAAUCUUUCAUAUUGAAAUGCAUUUUGAUAAACUCCUAAACUCACUAGAUCUUUGAGAGGUUGAGGUUGGUGAUUUUCAAUACCUUAUUGUGGCAUCGAAAUCAAUAUUGAAAUGCAUUUCUUGUAUCAAAAUGGUGUCCUCGCAUCAAAUUGUGUAUUGCUCGACAUCAAAAUGUAUUCUAAUAACACCCCAAACUUAUUGUGUUUGGAUUGACUCUACUCUCUUGUAUUGAAGUUGUUAGGACAAUGAGUCUUCAAUGUAUUUUGACAAUUUUGUUUCAUUCUAUUUUUGGCUUAAGAAUCUUUUUAGAUAGUGACUUACUCUCCAUCGAAGAUCCAAGGCUAUUGUUCAUCCAACCGAAAAGUCACAGGUAUAUCCAAGAAGGUUUGACUUGUGACAAGUUAGGUAAUCAAAGGGGAUAAAGUAAAUUGAUAUAUUUUAAAAAAUUAAAAUUAAAAAGGUUUGUUAAAGGACAAUUCGUUUGUUUGUUUGUUUUUUUUAUUUUUAAAUAAGAUAUGAUUGAAUUAGAAGUUUUAAAAUUGAGCUAAAAUCUCUUAAUUAUUUUUUUGACAACUUUGGGAUUUUAUUUUUAAGAAAGUUGAUAUUUUGUUUUUAACAAAAUUCUUUUCUUAAUUAAUUUUUAGAAAGUUGUUAUUCAUUUUUUUUUUUUUAAGAAAAUUAUUUUUUUAGUUAAUCUUUAGACAGUAGAUAUUUUAUUCCAUUUCCAACCAUUUUGGGUUUGGACAUUGAUGAGAGAGACUCAACCUAACUUGCUCUACCAUUCCCAAUCUCUCAAGAAAGAUUCAAGGAUUGAAUCUUGGGUUGUUGGAAGAUUUACAUUCCUUCAACGAGGCUGAGGAGUAUUCAUUAGAGUAAUUGGAGAUUGUUACAUUACAAACAUGGAUCAAGUAGUAGGUACGGAAAAAUAAUUCUUAAGGGUAAAACAAUAAAGUAAAUCUAUGUAACUUGAUCUCAUAUAAUGGAUUUAGAUUAAAGGUUUUAAAUCUUAUGAUUUUAUUAUUAUUAUUAUUAUUUUUAUUAUUUUAUAUCUCCAUAGUAAGUGUGAGUUUUCCACAAAAAUUAAUGUGUUCUUUGCAUGCUUGUUUACUUUUUUAAAUAUUUAGGAUAUUUUGUUAAUCCUUGAUAACUUGCUAGUUUAAUUAGGUUAAAAACUCUACUCCCUAUUUAAAUUUAGUUAUUAAUUCUUAAUCCUUAUAUUAUAAUUUUUAAUUACACUCAUGCAUCCCCUGUGUUACCCUAUUGGACCACGACUUUUUAGAAGUGAUGUUGAAAUCCACUCUUCCGUAAUAAAAUUCCUCUUUUUCCUUGCAUUCCUCACUAGAUGUAAAGAUUGAUCGUCAAUUUGAGGCUUAGCACAUAUUUAAGUUACAAGAUAAUGAUAUGCACUCAAAAGUUAUUUAAAAGCCUAUUUUUAUAUAUGGAAAAACAUCAGUUUUGAGUGCUAAUCAACUACUGCAUAUGGGAUUGUAACUGCAUUUUAGUUGUCGUCAUUGUCAAGCAAGGUUUUAAGUUGAAGUUUUUGAAGGGUGCAUCACGUGGGCUUGCUGGUUCAGAUAUCACCCGCAUUUUCAAGACUAGAAUUUAACCUCACAGUGUACUCUGCUACAAGCUUGGCGAAAGAUGACGACUUGUUCUCUAGCAAUCUCGUUGGGGUAUCGUAUUCCUCAAUUAGCCCUACAUCAUCGACAUUUCCAGGGAAAUAAAUCAAGAAGAAUGCAGAUGAAGUUAAGAGUGCCAUUAGUUCAUGUUGAUAGUACUAACCAUGAUCCAGAAGUAGAACCCUGUCACUAUCAAGAACAGAAGUAGUUCGAUGUGCAAUAGUUAUGACUGUAGAAUCGACAAAGUGUUGUCUAAGGGUUUGCUGAAUCAGAUUUUCUGUGGCUGUAUCAACUGAUGCAGUAGCUUCAUCAGGCACCAAGACCUUGCUUUUCUUGAGUAGAACUCGGCCAAGACAAACCAGUUGCCUCUGACCCAUGCUCCAAUUCUCUCCAUUCUCAAUAACUGCCAAAUGCAUACUAACAUUAGGAGACUUAUAUGAGGUUUCUAUUUAGAUUUUAUGUUAGCAUGGCGGGAGAAAUAACCUGUAGAAUCUAGCUUUCCUUCUUUCUUCCUGACUUCAUCUCCAAGCUGGCACUUAUCCAGAGCCUGAACCAAUAAGUUAGUUAACAACAUUGCACUUCUACAGUAUUAAGAAAUGUGGCGAAGGAAACUAUAUUUCUACUAUAUUAAGAAAAGAUAGUAGAGGAAAACUACAUGUCUACCAUACUUAAGUAUAUCAAUAGAAUAGACAAAACCUACCUCCCAAAUCUGCUCAUCUGACUACUCUUCAAGUGGGUCAAGGUUGCUCCGUACAGUCCCUUCAAACAUGGUUGGAUCCUGAGGGAUAAUGCUUAGUCUGGACCGCAAAUCAUGUAGUCCAAUGGAAGAGAUGUUGGUACCAUCUAUCAUAAUCUGACCAGCAGCAGGUUCAACAAUUCGAAAGAGGAUCUGUAUGAGGGUUGAUUUACCGCUGCCAGUUCACCCUACAAUGCCAGUCUUCAUUCCUCCUAAACUGCAGAAAUACAUUACUUAAACACAGCAUCUAAACUGCAAAACCGGCAGUCCAUCUUGCAGCCAAUUUCAUUACCCUUAUCUUAAAAAUGAAUCGGCACUAAAAAACCACCAUAUCAACAGUAAAGAAACUUUCAUUUUGAGGCCAUAGUAAUUGACAUGGUACAUACAAAUUGGCACCUCCUCAAUAUGCAAUGCUUGUGAUUGAGCCCCGGCUCAGCAGGAUCAGAAAGGAACAUGAGCAUGCCAUGAAUUGUAAGAGUUAUCCUGAAUUAGGAUUCCAUUUUAAUGCAGUUGGUUUAAAAUGAAUCAAAUUACUCGAUAAGCAAUGCACUACUCCAAAUUUUUUGCUAAGCAACAUUUUGGAGUAAAGUUCUGUUUAUACCAAAAAUGGUUUUGAACCUACUGGCAUUUUCAGGAACAGAUAUGAUUGAUAAUCUAAUCUGCAAGAGUACAUGGCAUCAGUAAGCGAAGAAAAUAAUUAAUGUAAUAUGAGAAACAUAAGGUGAUCUUAACUACAGAGCAUGAGAUGUCAUGUGACAAAGCCAUGUGUUGGCUGGCAUUAAAUAACAAGAAGAGGUCCUAACAAGUUCACAAUGGUUACCUGAUACCAGAUGCAGGUUGCAAUCACAGGAAUAAAGACAAUGAAAACCUGCCAUGCAACCUGUGACAUAACUGCAAUAAUUCCCCGGAGCCGAAUCAAUGAGAAGGCAAAUGCCCCAACUUGCAUGGGAAUGUUUGUGUCGAUCGCAUUUUGGUCUGUAGAAGCCUGAAAAAAGGGAAGGAUCAAUUAAGUAAUAAUCUAACACUUCACUUUGGUCAUUAGGGAAAAAUGCAAGGCAGAAAUAAAUAUAUAUUCAUAUUUGCACUUACUCUGUUUAGAAUCCGUCCACUUGGGGUGGCAUCAAAGAAUGACAUUGGGGCACGGAAAAGGCUCAAAUGCAUUUUAUUGAAGAGUAUAGUAGCUGUUACAAGAAGCAUGGCUCUAGAAAGGACGCUAAAAGAACUUCCAACAGCCAAAGCUACAUAAACAAUCAUGAGAGUAGAACCUCUAACUGCAGGUUUCACAUCAUCUGACACGGGACUUGACCAAGCCAUCCAAUAAUUGCUUCCAAUCUGAAGCAGCUGAAAGAGAAUCUGUGACAACAAUAUAAAGGGCACAAGAGCUCCUCCAUAUGCUGUCCUGAUGUAUUUCCAAUAAACCCAUAGCCCAACUUUACCUUUCUCUCUCUCCUCUUCUUGAACAAGCUGACCUUUUGGUCCAUCUAUCUCCUCUGCUUUACCAUUUUGGCCACCUUUGUUUUCUUCUUUUUCUAUAACUUCAGAAGUACCACCAAUAUUAUCACUGUCCUCAUGGAUACUUGAUUUUUCUGAAAGUGACCCUGCCUCUACAGAAUUGAGUGCUGACAAAGCUUUCUUAUGUGCACCAACAAGUUCCAUAAAAUCAGUUCCAGAGUUGAGAAUUUCAUUGUACUUUCCAGCUUGUGUAAUUCUUCCAUCUUUCAUGACCUGCGGGUAUGCUACAUUUCUUCAGUUUAUCUAAUGGAAACAAAGGCAGGGAAGAAAAAAAAUGGUAAUUACUCACCAGUAUGAGAUCAGCAGCAGGUAAGAACUCUACUUGAUGUGUAACAUAGAUCACAGUUUUCGAACCCAAUAGACCCAGCAAACAUUCCUGUUAUAUGAAGAUUACUUACAAAUAAGAUCAAUGAAAGAUUUUAUUUUUAUUUUUAUUUCAUUUAUUAUAUAUAAUAAAAGGGAAAGGAAAAAAAACAAAGGGCAAUGGGUUAGCAAGGGUCCCUAAUUACCUCAGCCAGACCAAGAACCAAAUCUCAUAUAGCCCAUAGCAGUGCAUAUUUAAACAUACAAGGAUAGCUCAAUUUCUACUUGAUGCAAUGGCAUUGUAUAGAUAACAUGUUUUAUUUCAUAUAUAUGUAUAUUGAUCAAACUCAGGCUUUUAUAAGAGAAAGAAAUUACCUUAAAGAGAUGGGUUCCUGUAUGAGCAUCCACAGCACUGAAAGGAUCAUCAAACAGAUAAAUAUCAGCGUUUUGGUAAAGUGCACGUGCAAUCUGUAUUCUUUGCUUCUGGCCACCACUCAAAUUGAUUCCCCGCUUACCUAUAACCGUCUGAUCACCAAAUGAGAGAACCUCCAGGUCCUUCUUCAAGGAACAUGCAUCAAGGACCCUUUCAUACCUUUCUCUGUCCAUCUCCUUACCAAACAAGAUGUUCUCUUCUAUCUUGCCACUCUGUAUCCAAGGAGACUGAGCAACAUAGGCCUUUGUUCCACACAGCUUAAGGAUACCAGAUAUCUUAGGCACCUCUCCCAAUAUACAGGAGAGUAAGCUUGACUUGCCUGAGCCUACAGUACCACAAACAGCAACCCUCAUGCCACGGCACACCCGCAAAUUAAUAUCCUUCAGUGUUGGAUUAGGGGAAGAUAAAUCCCAAGAGAAAUUCCCAUCCACUAUCUCAAUUGCUGUAUCAGAACUACCUUUUGGAAGCCUCUCGAUAACAUCACUCUGCAGGUCAACUAGACGAAGAAAGGAUGUAAUUCUGUCAAGGGAUACUUUAGUCUGAGCUAUCAUUGAGAUUAGGUCAGGAAGACUGUAGAUGGGUUGUUGAAGUAUCCUGAAUGUUGCAAGUGAAGAUAAGAUCUUCCCUGAUUCAAGCGGGAUUCCUAUAAGCAUGCAAGUUCCAAAGGUGACCACGGACACAAAUGUUGGGGCAACCCAGAAAAAAAAAGUGGUCAUGGCUGAAGUGUAAAGAUAUUUUUUCAACCACCCCGUCUCAUUCUUCCGAAGGUCUACAAUUUUAGACAAAAACUUCAUCUCCCAUCCCUGAAGCUUGAGAAUCCUCAUGUUUCUUAAAAUCUCAGAUGUUGCCUUCAUCCUUUUAUCUUUUGAUUCCAUUAACUUGCCCUGAAACUUCUCUUCCCAUUUCCCCAGUGGAACAUUUGCCAACAUAACAAUUAUAGUUGCAAAGAAAGCUGCAACUGAAGCAAGGCCGACGUUUUUAUACAAGAUUAGCAAGGCUAGAGUAACUUGCACAAUCACCAUCCAUGGUCCAUGCAUAUACCAAAUGAAAUCCCCAAUUCUCUCCGCAUCAACAGACAUAAAAUUAAUGAUCUCCCCAGUAGUAUGGCCCUGCUUUGACUGGCAGGAAAGAGUCAAACCCUUGUUGUAGAUCAUUGUGAUCAUUACUGCUCUGAUCCUAAAACCAACCUGCUGCAAUCUAAAGGAACACUGCCUCAGUGAAAGGCACUCAACAAGCUUCGCAAGAAAAAAGACCAUAACCAAAACAUAGCCUUCAUUUUUGAAUUCCCUCCGCCCAUUGAGAUAUUGAACGAAGGUGUCAAUAAGAUAGGGCCCAACAUAAGAAGCUAAUAUGUCCAGAAGUAGGAAUAAAGCCGUCAAUAGGAUUUCUGCCCAAAAUGCAAAGAUCAAUGCUUUCACAAGCUUAAGCGUGGUCACUCCAUUACUUCCACCACAAUCACACUGGAGCUUAUUUCUAAAUGCUGGAAAGACCGCUACAACGCUGUUGCUGGUAUCAAGCUGAGGAACAUCCCCAAGGUCUAAUGUUUUCUUGUUACCCUCAGCAAUCAAGGGACCGAUCCAAGAGAAAGUAAGAAGGCUAAAAAAACCAGCUUUUGAAAAGGGGGUCACAGUUUCUUCCCCCUUGGAUUCAUCAGACUCUACUAUACUUAUACUGGUGCCACCAUUCAAAAGUGGUUCCCUAAGAAUUGAUUCCUUACCUUGAUUCUUUCCCAAAAACCCGGAAUAGCACAAGAACAGACCAGUUAUGACGUAGACAAUGUCGGGCACCAAAAAUUGAACUUGUAGGGACUGGUCUUUCUUAACAAUGUCUAUAACAAGGCAAUAACAAGAGAUGGAGAAGUAAAAUCCCCACCAAACUCUUAACAAAAACGGGAACUUUGGUUCAACAGAACCAUGGAAUUGAGUGUGCAAAUAUACACAAACUGCUCCCCAGGAAAGUGUUCUGAGCACUAAAUCCAAAAGUGUGACCAGCUUUUCACCAGACCAGCCAUUUCUAUACCAAUAAAAGUAGUUCAAAAAACACAAGAAGAAAUUCAACAGUGACAGACCCUGACAGCAUGCAAACGUUUGCUUAUAGUACAAAAACCUAGUCCUCUUACAAUUUUCAAGAGCACCCCCGUUGAUUCUCUUGCACACCCAUGAUACAAACAGGAGAAGCAACAAAACUAGAUGCAAUGAGGCAGAAAAGGCACGUAAAAAGACUGGGUUUAGCAGAAAACCAAUACCUGGGUACGUAACCAUGGCUUCGAGCCCCACCAUUUUUUGAGAACCUUUGGAUUCCACUAAAAUGGUAUUUUGGAGGUGUGCUCAUGAAUUGGCACUUGACAGUGAAGAUUUUUGGUACUUCAUAUAUGAGAAAUAAGAUGGGAUGUCACUGGUUUUUUAAGAGUGUAUUCCACAUGAGAAAGUCAGUCAAUGGAUACUUCCAAGGGCGCCGGAUAACUUGGCAGCCAUCGAAUGUUGACGGACAUGGCAAAGAAGCUAGGCAGGCACGAAGAGAGAGACAACUUUAAAGACAUAGAGACAAUUUUCUUGCUUCCCUUUUUUUUAUUGAUCAUCUUUUUAGUAGAAUUUUCAUUGCCAAAUAUUUUUAUUUCCAAAAUCCAAAAGAUUUAUGAUUUAUUUUUUUGAUUCACAUUUCAUUCCAACAAACUACUCUAUGGUAUCAUAAAUAUUUGGGAAAUUCCCCGUUAUUAUCUUAUUUUCCAUAAAAAGUUUUAGAAACAAAUUUCAAAUUACCAGGAUGACAAAAAAAAAAAAAAAAAAAAAAACCACACACACAUAAAAGAAAAAGAAAAAUAAUAUUUUUUAUUUAGCAAUUUAAUUUAAUUACCAUUAUUUAGUUAAUUUUAAAUUAGAAUUCAAUUAUGGAAUUUAGUUAAUUCCUUUUUUAUUUCAUAGUAGAACCAUUGAUAUUUUUACAAUCAUAAUUUCUAUUUUUUUUUAAUUCUCUAAGGUUUGUAAACUUUUUUUUUUUUUUCUGAACUAUUAUGCUUUAUGAAGGAUUAUCCCCUUCAUUCCCUCUGAAAAUAGGUAACAUUGACACUGGUUGUGGUUUGAUCAUGAUAUGUUCUCAAGUGGCAAUGAAGCAUGAGGGUUUUGUUGACCCUAGGAGGGUUAAGAUGAUCUCUCAUCAACCUAUAGGCUUGGAAAUGCCUAACUUGUUGAUUGUUAUUGUUGCUUUGAUUUGUUAGGUCAUUUAUACUUGCUUGAAUUGGCUAAAUUUGUCUUUGGCGUCUAGUAAAAAUAUCCAUAUUCUAAACAAGCAUAAAAAGUAAGAAGAUGAAAAGUAAAAACUAGAAAUAAAUAAAAUUCCUAUUAUUAAAGAAAACCAACUAUUUAAAACAAAAAAACUAAAAACUAAUUAGUACGUAAUUAAUUGACUUAGAUAAAACUUGUUACUAAUUCCUUAACAAUGACAUCAUUUUCUUAACCGAAAAUCCCUAAUACAAAUAAAAUACUAAAGCAUAAAUACAUGAUAAAAUUAGUCAAGAAAAAUGAGGGAUAGAGUUAUCACAACUUGUAGUAUUUCAAGUUAUCAUCCUUAGGGAAUCAAAAAAUUUUAACUAAUUUUAUCUAAAAGUAGUGAUUUUUAUUAAAAAAAUGAUUAGAUUGAAAUUAUGAUUUGAUGGAUAAAUUAAGAAAACAAUGAUAAACCAAUCUAAAGAUUUUCACAAAUCCAAUCUCAAACCUAGGAUUGAGGGAUAAUAAAUAAUGAUUAAAGGAUUUUUUGUCUUCGUAGAUUAGACCACAAUAUAGGCCAUCCAAGUUUGGAACCAUGUUUUCAAACUUAAAAUCCAUUCUCUAAUAGUCAUUCAACAAAUAAUUUGAAACAAUGUUUUAUCCUUUAGGACAUUUAAAACCCAAUAUUCAUUUGGUGUACUCUCCUCAGUCAUCAAUUACAUUAACAUAUGAUCACACUAGGUCAACUAUUGAUCAUAAUCCCUUAUGCAUCAAAGGACCCCUAGCAUGUAUCCUAUGUAUCUCUAAUAGGGACGAACUAGCAAAUAAUUAAACUUUUAUACAAAAAUUUAAAGAUUAGAAACUUACUACCAUUAAAAGAUAUCACAUUUUCAUAUCAUCCCUUUGUCUCGAAUUAUUCAUGAUUUAUUGUUACAUCUCCAAUGAGGAAUUUAGCCACUCAUGCUCAGAUUAAUGUCAUACAUUGAAUUAAAUCGAAUCAUGAGAGAUUUUAUUGAAAACUAAAUAAUUAUAAAAGUUGUAUCCAAACUCAAAAGUUUCUCUUCUUCUCUACUCUCUUUGUUCCUAAAGAAAUUUAUGGUAUUUAUAAAAAACUAACGCUACAAACAUAAAUAAAAGUGCUAAAACAUCCAAAGACAGUAAAAGAGCCAAAUAGGGAAAGCCUUGAAGUGAAAUUCUAGAAAUUGUAGUUUGUAGAAAAAAAUUUGAUACCUCCAUAGUGGUAUCAGAUUGCAUUUCGAUAAAUGCCCAAACCUUAUAGACCUUUGGCAUGCUUCCAAUGUGUUAUUGGAUUGAUUACAACAUGUAUCAUAAUGUAUCUUUUUGUAUUGACACCUUAUAUUAAAAUUGUAUCUCAAUGCAUCUUUUCGUAUUGAAAUGUUGCACUUUGUAUCAAAAUUGCAUCUCCUUGUAUCGAAAUUCAUUUUGAUGAACCUUGAAAUUUUUUACAUCUUUGGAAUGCUUUUCCAAGAAAAUUUGGAUGCCUCCACUAUAAUUGAAAUGUUUAUCAAAAUUCAUCUUUCGUAUCGAAAUACAUUUUGAUAAACUCCUGAACUGAACUCACUAGAUCUUUGGAAGGUUGAGGUUGGUGAUUUUUUAUGCCUUCUCAUUGCAUGAAAAUCAAUAUCAAAAUGCAUUUCUUGUAUUGAAAUGGUGUUCUCACAUCAAAUUGUGUAUCACAUAGUAUCAAAAUGCAUUCCAAUAACACCCCAAACUUACUAUGUUCCAAUUGACUCUACUCCUUUGUAUUGAAGUUGUUAGGACAAUGAGUCUUCAUCGUAUGUUGACAAUUUUGUCCCAUUCUUUGAAGAUCCAAGGUUAUUGUUUGUCCAAUUGAAAAGUCACAUGUACGCCCAAAAUGGUUUCACUUGUGGCAAGUUAGGUACACAAAGGGAAUAAAGCAGAUCAAUAUAUUUUUUUAAAGAAUUAAAAAGGUUUGUUAAAGGCAAGUUAGUAUUAUUAGUUUUUUUUUUUAAUAAAGUAAGGUUGGAUUGGAAAUUUUAAAAUUGAGUUAAAAUCUCUUAAUUAAUUUUUGACAACUUUGAAAUUUUAUUUUUAUUAGAAAUUUGAUAUUUUAUUUUUAAGAAAAUUAUUUUCUUAAUUAAUUUUUAGAAAGUUGAUAUUCUUUUUUUUUUUUUAAGAAAACUAUUUUCUUAAUUAAUCUUUAGAAAGUUGAGAUUUAAUUCCAUUUCCAAGUCUCUAAGCUUUUAUGCCUAUAUGUAUAAACCCUUGCUUAACACAUUUUGGGGUUGGACAUUAUUGAGAGAGAUUUGACCUAACUUGCCCUUUCCAAUCUCUCAAGAAAGUUUAAAAGAUUGAAUCUUAGAUUGUUGGAAGACCUAUAUUCCUUCAUUGAGGCUAAGGAGUAUUCAUUAAAGCAAUUGGAGAUUGCUAUGUCAUGUGGAUCAAGUUGUAGCUAUCGAAAAGUAAGUCUUUAGGGUAAAACAACGAUAAAUCUCUGUAAUUUGAUCUCAUAUAAUGGAUUUAGAUUAAGGGUUUUAAACCCCAUGUUUGUUUUAUCUCCAUAAUAGUGUUGGGGUUUUUCAUAUAAAAAUUCUUGUGUCCUAUGCAUGCAUAUUUACUUUCUUUCUUUUUUUCUAAUAUUUUGGAUAUUUUGUUAAUCCCUACUAUCUUAUAGAUUUAAUUAAGUUAAAAACUCUACUCCCUAUUUAAAUUGAGUAAUUAAUUCUUAAUCCUUAUAUUAUAAUUUUUAAUUACACCCAUUCAUCCCUUUGAUGUCACCUUAUCGGACUACAGUUUUUUAGAAGUGAUUUUGAAAUCAACUCUUAUGCAUCAAAAUUCCUCUUUUUCCUUGCAUUCUUCAUUAGAUGUACAUAUUAAUCCUCAAUUUGAGGCUUUGCAAAUAUUUAAGUUACAAGAUAAUGAUUUGCACUCAAAAGUUAUUUAAAAGCCUAUUUUUAUGUAUGGAAAAACAUCAGUUUUGAGUGCUUAUCAACUACUGCAUUUGGGAUUGUAACUGCAGUUUAGUUGUCGUCAUUGUCACGCAAGAUUUUAAGUUGAAGUUUUUGACCGGUGCAACAGGCGUGCUUGCUGGUUCAGAUAUCACCCGCAUUUUCAAGAUUAGAAUGUGACCUCACAGUGUACUCUGCUACAAGCUUUGCAAAAGAUGACGACUUGUUCUCUAGCAAUCUGGUGGGGGUAUCGUAUUCCUCAAUAAGCCCUGCAUCGACAUUUCCAGGGAAAUAAAUCAAGAAGAAUGCAGAUGAAGUUAAGAGUGCCAUUAGUUCAUGUUGAUAGUACUAACCAUGAUCCAGAAGUAGAACCUUGUCACUAUCAAGAACAGAAGUAAUUCGAUGUGCAAUGGUUAUGACUGUGGAAUCGACAAAGUGUUGUCUAAGGGUUUGCUGAAUCAGAUUAUCCGUGGCUGUAUCAACUGAUGCAGUAGCUUCAUCAAGCACUAAGACCUUGCUUUUCUUCAGUAGAACUCUGCCAAGACAAACCAGUUGCCUCUGACCCAUGCUCCAAUUCUCUCCAUUCUCAAUAACUGCCAAAUGCAUGCCAACAUUAGGAGUCUUAUAUGAGGUUACUAUUUAGAUUUUAUGUUAGCAUGGCGGGAGAAAUAACCUGCAGAAUCUAGCUUUCCUUCUUUCUUCCUGACUUCAUCUCCAAGCUGGCACUUAUCCAGAGCCUGAACCAAUAAGUUAGUUAACAACAUUGCAUUUCUACAGUAAUAAGAAAUGCAGCAAAGGAAACUAUAUUUCUACUGUAUUAAGAAAACAUAGUAGAGGAAAACUACAUGUCUACCAUACUUACGUAAAUCAAUAGAAUAAACAAAACCUACCUCCCAAAUCUGUUCAUCUGAGUGCUCUUCAAGUGGGUCAAGGUUGCUCCGUACAGUCCCUUCAAACAUGGUUGGAUCCUGAGGGAUAAUGCUUAGUCUAGUCCGCAAAUCAUUUAGUCCAAUAGAAGAGAUGUUGGUACCAUCUAUCAUAAUCUGACCAGCGGCAGGUUCAACAAUUCGAAAGAGGGUCUGUAUGAGGGUUGAUUUACCACUGCCAGUUCGCCCUACAAUGCCAGUCUUCAUUCCUCCCAGGAAAGUGCAUGUGAGACCUCUCAAUACAAGUGGCAUGUGUGGGGCAUAGCGGACCUACAUCCACACUCACCGUCAUCAAACAUAUGGAAAUUCCUCUGACCAGAGGAAGCCAUGAAUAACCCUCUAGCAUAUAUAUAAAUAGAAAUUACCUGCAAAUCCUGAAUAUCAACUUCUCCAUGUGAAGGCCAAGAACAUGCUAGCCUGUUUUCUUCUGUGACAAGAGGAGGCUCGCUUGGAAUGGAAGUGUAUUGAAGUAUUCUCUCAACUGAUAUAAUUUUAUUCUCCAUAUUGCAAAGAUUCCAUAUUACCCUAGCUUGUAUCAUGUUCAAAUUAAGUCCAUAUGUCAUUGCUAGGCCCGCAAUACCUUUAAUGGAAGUGGAAAAGAGUGUUAGUAAUUCUCCUAUGCCAUUUGCUAUUGAGAGUGACAUGGAUAAUCAGUGAAUAUACCAGAACAGAGAUACUUACCAGGAUCAAUUACUCCCUCUGGAACAGAGAUUAAGAAAACCAAAGAGAAGGCAAAUGUAACAGAAGAUAGCAUAUCCAAGCGGAAGCACAGCCAUUCCAUUGCACCAGCAAUGUUGAACUUGGGCCGUAAAUACCCAUCUACCAAUUUCAUGUUUGUAUCCCUGAAUCUAGAUUCUUGAUCAAAGCUUCUGAUGGUCAUAGAUCCUGCUAUAGUUUCAGAAAAAUGUUGAAUUACUGGAGCUUUGCAUACUCCAGCCAAUCUUGACAGUUCUCGUGCUGAAGGUAUGUAAUAUUGCUGCUUAAUUAUAAUGUUGUAAGAACCUUUUGCUCAUAUAUGAUAUAAAUCUAAGCUUUAAGGGGUAUUGAAAAAAAGGGGGAAAAAUGGUUUUGGAAAUGAUAAAAAAAUAGAAAUACAUUAGUUAAACAUUGCAUCUAAACAGCAAAACCUGCAGUUUAUCUUGCAGCCAAUUUCAUUACUCUUAUCUGAAAAGUGAAUUGGCACUCAAAAACCACCAUAUCAACACUAAAGAAACUUUCAUUCUGAGGCCAUAUUAAUUGGCAUGGCACAUUCAUAUUUGCACCUCCUUAAUAUGCAAUGCUUGUGACUGAGCCCCAGCUCAGCUGGAUCAGAAAGGAACAUGAACAUGCCAUGAAUUGUAAGAGUUAUCCUGAAUUAGGAUUCCAUUUUAAUGCAGUUGGUUUAAAACGAAUCAAAUUUCUCAGUAAGCAAUGCACUACUCCAAUUUUUUUUCUAAGCAACAUUUUGGAGUAAAGCUUAGUUUAUACCCAAAAUGGUUUUGAGCCUACUGGCAUUUUCAUGGACAUAUGAUUGAUAAUCUAAUGUGGAAGAGUACAUGGCAUAUGUAAGCAAAGAAAAUAAAUAAUGUAAUAUGAGAAACAUAAGGUGAUCUCAACUACAGAGCAUGAGAUGUCAUGUGACAAAGCCAUGUGUUGGCAUUAACUAACAAGAAGAGGUCCUAAUAAGUUCACAAUGGUUACCUGAUACCAGAUGCAGGUUGCAAUCACAGGAAUAAAGACAAUGAAAACCUGCCAUGCAACCUGUGACAUAACUGCAAUAAUUCCCAGGAGCUGAAUCAAUUGGAAGGCAAAUGCCCCAACUUGCAUUGGCAUGGUUGUAUCGAUCGUACUUUGGUCUGCAGAAGCCUGUAAAAAAGGGAAGGAUCAAUUAAGUGAUAUUCUAACACUAACUUUGGUAAAUGGGGAAAAAUGCAAGGCAGAAAUAGACAUAUAUUCAUAUUUUCACUUACUCUGUUUAGAAUUCGCCCACUUGGGGUGGCAUCAAAGAAUGACAUUGGGGCACGGAAGACGCACAAAUGCAUUUUAUUGAAGAGUAUAGUAGCUGUCUUGUAACCAGCUGUUACAAGAAGCAUGGCUCUGGAAAGGACGCAAAAAGAACUUCCAACAGCCAAAGCUACAUAAACAAUUAUGAGAGUAGAACCUCUAACUGCAGGUUUCACAUCAUCUGACACGGGACUUGCCCAAGCCAUCCAAUAAUUGCUUCCAAUCUGAAGCAGCUGAAAGAGAAUCUGUGACAACAAUAUAAAGGGCACAAGAGCUCCUCCAUAUGCUGUCCUGAUGUAUUUCCAAUAAACCCAUAGCCCAACUUUACCUUUCUCUCUCUCCUCUUCUUGAACAAGCUGACCUUUUGGUCCAUCUAUCUCCUCUGCUUUACCAUUUUGGCCACCUCUGUUUUCUUCUUUUUCAACUACUUCAGAAGUACCACCAAUAUUAUCACUAUCCUCAAGGAUACUUAAUUUUUCUGAAAGUGACCCUGCCUCUACAGAAUUGAGUGCUAACAAAGCUUUCUUAUGUGCACCAACAAGUUCCAUAAAAUCAGUUCCAGAGUUGAGAAUUUCAUUGUACUUUCCUGCUUGUGUAACCCUUCCAUCUUUCAUGACCUGCAGGUAUGCUACAUUUCUUAAGUUUAUCUAAUGAAAACAAAGGCAAGGAAGAAAAAACAUUGUAAUUACUCACCAGUAUGAGAUCAGCAGCAGGUAAGAACUCUACUUGAUGUGUAACAUAAAUCACUGUUUUCGAACCCGAGAGACCCAGCAAACAUUCCUGUUAUAUGAAGAUUACUUACAAAUACGAUCAAUGAAAGAUUUUUUUUUUUCAUUUAUUAUAUAUAAUAAAAAGGAAAGGAAACAAAACAAAGGGCAAUGGCAUAGCAAGGGUCCCUAAUUACCUCAGCCAGACCAAGAACCAAAUCUUAUAUAGCCCAUAGCAGUGCAUAUUAAAACAUACAAGGAUAGCUCAUUUUCUACUUAAUGCAAUGGCAUUGUAUAGAUAAUAUGUUGUUUUACUUCAUAUAUAUAUAUAUAUAUAGAUCAAACUCAGGCUUUUAUAAGAGAAAAAAAUUACCUUAAAGAGAUGGGUUCCUGUAUGAGCAUCCACGGCACUGAAGGGGUCAUCAAACAGAUAAAUAUCAGCAUUUUGGUAGAGCGCACGUGCAAUCUGUAUUCUUUGCUUCUGGCCACCACUCAUAUUGAUUCCCCACUCACCUAUUACUGUCUGAUCACCAAAUGAGAGAACCUCCAGGUCCUUCUUUAAGGAACAUGCAUCAAGGACCCUUUCAUACCUUUCUCUUUCCAUCUCCUUACCAAACAAGAUGUUCUCUUCUAUCUUGCCACUCUGUAUCCAAGGAGACUGAGCAACAUAGGCCUUUGUUCCACACAGCUUAAGGAUACCAGAUAUCUUAGGCACUUCUCCCAACAUACAAGAUAGUAAGCUUGACUUGCCUGAGCCUACAGUACCACAAACAGCAACCCUCAUGCCACGGCACACCCGCAAAUUAAUAUCCUUCAGUGUUGGAUUAGGGGAAGAUAAAUCCCAAGAGAAAUUCCCAUCCACUAUCUCAAUUGCUGUAUCAGAACUACCUUUUGGAAGCCUCUCGAUAACAUCACUCGGCAGGUCAUCCAGACGAAGAAAGGAUGCAAUUCUGUCAAGGGAAACUUUAGUCUGAGCUAUCAUUGAGAUUAGGUCAGGAAGACUGUAGAUGGGUUCUUGAAGUAUCCUGAAUGUUGCAAGUGAAGAUAAGAUCUUCCCUGAUUCAAGCGGGAUCCCUAGAAGCAUGCAAGUUCCAAAGGUGGCCACAGACACAAAUGUUGGGGCUCCCCAGAAAACAAAAGUGGUCACGGCUGAAGUGUAAAGAUAUUUUUUCAACCACCCUGUCUCAUUCUUCCGAAGGUCUACAAUUUUGGACAAAAACUUCAUCUCCCAUCCCUGAAGCUUGAGAAUCCUCAUGUUUCUUAAGAUCUCGGAUGUUGCCUUCAUCCUUUUAUCUUUUGAUUCCAUCAACUUGUCCUGAAACUUCUCUUGCCAUUUCCCUAGUGGAACAUUUGUCAACAUAACAAUUACAGUUGCAAAGAAAGCUGCAACUGAAGCAAGGCCCAGGUUUUUAUACAAGAUUAGCAAGGCUAAAGUAACUUGCACAAUCACCAUCCAUGGAUCAUGCAUAUACCAACUGAAAUCCCCAAUUCUCUCCGCAUCAACAGACAUAAAAUUAAUGAUCUCCCCAGUAGAAUGACCCUGCUUUGACUGGCAGGAAAGAGUCAAACCCUUGUUGUAGAUCAUUGUGAUCAGUACUGCUCUGAUCCUAAUUCCAACCUGCUGCAAUCUAAAGAACCAGUGCCUCACUGAAAGGCGCUCAACAAGCUUCGCAACAAAAAAAGCCAUAGCCAAAAGAUAGCCUUCAUUUUUGAAUUCCCUCCGCCCAUUGAGAUAUUGAACGAAGGUAUCAAUAAGAUAGGGCCCAACAUAAGAUGCUAAUGUCUUUACAAGUACCAAGAAAGCCGUCAAUAGGAUUUCUGCCCAGCAUGCAAAGAUCAAUGCUUUCACCAGCUUAAGCGUGGUCACUCCACUACUUCCACCACUAUCACACUGGAGCUUAUUACUAAAUGCUGGAAAGACCCCCGCAACGCUGUUGCUGGUAUCAAGCUGAGGAACAUCCUCAAGGUCUAAUGUUUUCUUGUUACCCUCAGCAAUCAAGGGACCGAUCCAAGAGAAAGUAAGAAGGCUAAAAAAACCAGCUUUUGAAAAGGGGGUCACAGUUGCUUCCCCCUUGGAUUUAUUGGACUCCACUCUACUUAUACUGGUACUACCAUUCAAAAGGGGUUCCCUAAGAAUCGAUUCCUCGCCUUGAUUCUUUCCCAAAAACCCCGAGUAGCACAAGAACAGACCAGUUAUGACGUAGACAAUAUCGGGCACCAAAUAUUGAAUUCGUAGGGACUGGUGUUUCUUGACAAUAUCUAGAACAAGGAAAUAACAUGAGAUGGAGAAGUAAAAUCCCCACCAAACUCUUAACAAAAAUGGGAACUUUGGUUCAACAGAACCAAUGAAUUGAGUGUGCAAAUAUACACAGACUGCUCCCCAGGCAAGUGUUCUGAGCACUAAAUCCAAAAGGGUCACCAGCCUUUCAUCAGACCAGCCAUUUCUAUACCAAUAAAAGUAGUUCAAAAAACACAACAACAAAUUCAACAGCGACAGACCCUGACAGCAAGCAAACGUUUGCUUAUAGUACAAAAACCUAGUCCUCUUACAAUUUUCAGGAGCACCCCCCUUGAUUCUCUUGCACACCCAUGAUACAAACAGGAGAAGCAACAAAACUAGAUGCAAUGAGGCAGAAAAUACACGUAAAAAGACGGGGUUUAGCAGAAAACCGGUACCAGGAUACGUAACCAUGGCUUCGAAUCCCACCAUUUUUUGAGAAUCUUUGGCCUCUGCUAAAAGUGUAUUUUGGAGGUGUGCUUAUGAAUCGAAAGGGAUGAUUUCUGGUGCUUUAUAUACGAAAAAUAAGACGGUAUUUCCCCGGUUUUAAGAGUGUAUUCCACAAAGUAAGUCAGUCAAAGGAUAUUUCCUUGGGCGCGGGAUAACUUGGCAGCCAAGCUUCA